AUUUAAUGGAGCUGCUUUACACUUUUUACACUGUUCAUUCACAAACACUUUAUUUAAUAAAAGUCCCAUCUAGUUUUUAUGAGGAAUGUGAUGUUUUAAUUUCUCUGUGAAUAACUGCAGUCUAAUGUAACAGCUGGAGUUGUAACAUCUGUCCUGAUAUUGAUCAUGAAAUAUUGAUCAGAAUACUUAUGGUCAGCAGUCAUCCCUGAAGUUUUACAUUAAAAUCUUUACUUGUGUUGUGAACUUUGGUAAGAAGCAGAAACGUUAGCGUUGCCAUGGAUACAUGAUUGUUAAAUUCUGUCCAUGUUUCCAUUUUGGGAAAUGCAGUCCAGUUCCAGAAUGUGGAGGAAUUUAGUCUCACAAUCACAGACAACAAAUAUUAUCUGAAAGUCAGGUUAUUGUUGUUUAUCAGCACAAUACAAAAAGUUUAAUGUUAGAAAUAUUCCAGUUAAGACUCUAGAAUAUCAUGAUUUAUGUAAAUUUACCUCAAUAAUAUGAAUGUUCAGGUUAAGAUUGUACAGUGAUAUUUAUUAUGUAAGUUUAGCUGAUUAAAGUUUAUGACUCUGCACUAAAAUAUUAUUUAAAUUGACAUCAUUAUUAUAAUAUUUAGGGUCAGACCCUACAGUAUUGAGAUUAAGAAAUCAAAUAUUCUAUAAAAUGUAAAUACACUGAACUCAUUUGGAUAUAUUUAAGUGAGACUCUACAAUAUUAUUUGACACAAAUCUAUCUAAAUCAAAAUUUUAAUAAUUUUCAUGCCAAACAUUUACUGGACUGAUUUAAAUAUUAAAAUCACUCCUUUCUAAUCCUCUGCUGUACGUUCAAACCUGAGGCCUUAAAUAGAAACACACAAGUAUCCGAUUGAAGGAACUUCUGUAGAGUCCUGGUUCCAGAACAUGAUGAUAGAAUUAUAGAUAAACUUUAACAAAAGCUGCCUGAGUGUUUACAGGUUUUUAUGUUGGAUUUCUUCAGUAAUUUAAUGAGAGUUAUCAGCAAAAAUCAAGUGUUCAUUUGAUGAACUUCAUUUCCUAAAACAUCCAGAAUUGGAGCUCAUAUCUUUGGCAGCUCUAAAGUUUCUGCUCCUUCAAAGUUCACAACACAAUGAAUAAAUUCCUAAAACACUCUGUGCUGGAGAGCGUUUGUGAUGCUGAAGCAGUGAUCAGUUUUUCUGUUUCUUCUCUGGAGAUGAACAAUGAGGGACGUCUGCAGAGACUGAGAAAGAGUCUCACCACAUCCUGACAUGAGGAAAAAGACUUUAUUGAAGACUACAAUGAGAAAAACUAUCAGACAGCAGACGGCUGCAUUCAAGGCUACAGGAGGAGCCCUACGAGGACGAGCCGGUCCACCUGAUGGCGGCCAGUCGCUGCGGUUCAAAGCCAACACCGACUACGUGGACUUCUACUGGACCACACGGAGGCCUUCAAACCGGACCAACAAGUUCAGCGACUCCCCGACUCGUGGGUCUGAGGACGCCGCCGAGCCUCGGACCAGCCGGCCGCCUGUCUGUGGGUGUUUGAGUGCUGAGAGGUUUGUGGAUGCAUGUGAACAUGUCUGUGUUGAAACAGCAGCUUUGGACUCAGUAACGCCGGGAAAAACCAAGAGCUCCUUUAUUUGUGACUUCCACUAAAAAAACCUGAUGAAAAUAAGUUUGCCAGGGUUCUGACUGAUAACAGGU
ensembl:lncRNA